rnacentral:rRNA from 1 species
GACGAACGCUGGCGGCGUGCCUAAUACAUGCAAGUGGGACGCAAGGAAACACACUGUGCUUGCACACCGUGUUUUCUUGAGUCGCGAACGGGUGAGUAACGCGUAGGUAACCUGCCUAUUAGCGGGGGAUAACUAUUGGAAACGAUAGCUAAUACCGCAUAAUAUUAAUUAUUGCAUGAUAAUUGAUUGAAAGAUGCAAGCGCAUCACUAGUAGAUGGACCUGCGUUGUAUUAGCUAGUUGGUAAGGUAAGAGCUUACCAAGGCGACGAUACAUAGCCGACCUGAGAGGGUGAUCGGCCACACUGGGACUGAGACACGGCCCAGACUCCUACGGGAGGCAGCAGUAGGGAAUCUUCGGCAAUGGACGAAAGUCUGACCGAGCAACGCCGCGUGAGUGAAGAAGGUUUUCGGAUCGUAAAGCUCUG